rnacentral:rRNA from 1 species
AAUGAACGCUGGCGGCAGGCCUAACACAUGCAAGUCGAGCGGACAAAGGGGGAUUGCUCCUGGAUUAAGCGGCGGACGGGCGAGUAAGGAAUACGAAUAUGCCUGGUAGAUGGGGAUGACGUCCGUUAAGGGGAGCUGAUACAGCACACGUCAAUAUGUUGAACGGGGGGGUUCUUUGGAGAUAACGGUUUCUGAUGAGACUAGGACGGAUUAGCUAGUUGGUGGGGUAAAGGCCUACCAAGGCGACGAUCCGUAACUGGUCUGAGAGGAUGAUCAGCCACACUGGAACUGAGACACGGUCCAGACUCCUACGGGAGGCAGCAGUGGGGAAUAUUCGACAAUGGGCGAAAGCCUGACGCAGCCACGCCGCGUGUGUGAAGAAGGUCUUCGGAUUGUAAAGCUCUGUUAGUUGGGAGGAAGGGAUGUGUGUGAAUAUCUUGAUGUCUUGACGGUACCUACAGAGAAAGCCCCGGCUAACUACGUG